AACACUAACGAGUACAAAAAGACAAUUUUAUAAAAAAAUAUACCACCACAACAGGAUUUGACAAUGAGCCAAAGCAGAUCACUACCGGUCAUUUGUGCUGUUGAAGGAUGCGGAAGGACUGACAUCACACGAGACGUUUGGUACAACUGCAAUAAAUUACACCAAUUUUGUAGCAUUCAUCGUAUGAUGGAAUAUUGUCCAAUUGACAAGUCAGCAACAAGUAGAAUCUGUGAAGCCUGCAAUGAAAUACUGGACGGCAUCAGCUCUACUGCAAUUUGUGGUGACUGGAGUACUGGUAUAUGGUACAACUGUUACUAUGAGCAUUUCUUCUGCCUUGCUCAUCAACAGGAAGAAUUCUGUCCAAUGCACAGUGCCUAUAAAAGAAGGACAUAAUUGAACUAUACAUAACAAAGCUGCUAAUAUAUGCUACAACUAUGAUACAUACAUGUACAUACACAUUUUUAAAGCUAUACUGUAAAUAUAUUAUAUAGAAAAUGCUAUUGCUGCUAAGCUGAAUUAUACACAUGUAGUA